GUGUCAGCAGCCGCGGUAAGACGGAGGGCGCAAGCGUUGUUCGGAAUUACUGGGCGUAAAGCGCGAGCAGGUGGUCUGUUAAGUCUUUUGUGAAAACCCGGGGCUCAACUCCGUGGAAUGCAGAAGAUACUGGCAGGCUAGAGAACAGUAGAGGCUAGCGGAAUUCCUGGUGUAGCGGUGGAAUGCGUAGAUAUCAGGAAGAACACCUGUGGCGAAGGCGGCUAGCUGGGCUGUUUCUGACACUCAUCCGCGAAAGCGUGGGGAGCAAACAGGAUUAGAUACCCCGGUAGUCC
rnacentral:rRNA from 1 species